CCUACCUGGUUGAUCCUGCCAGUAGUCAUAUGCUUGUCUCAAAGAUUAAGCCAUGCAUGUCUAAGUCCAAGCUGUGUUUAACACGGCGAGACCGCGGACGGCUCAUUAAAUCAGUCGUGGUCCAAAUGGGCCAAUCCAAGUUACUUGGAUAACUGUGGUAAUUCCAGAGCUAAUACAUGCAACUGAAACCCUGACGCUGUGUGCGUUUGACGUGUUCGCGGACGGGUGCUUUUAUUAGACCAAUCUGCCGAGGGCGUUGAGGACUCUUGCUUGAGGUCUCUUAGUCCUUCGCCUCGCUUUGUGGUGACUCUGGAUAACCAUCAUGCUGAGCGCACGUACCCCUCGUUUCCGAGCUGGGACGGCGCUGCCACUUUCGAGUGUCUGCCUUAUCAGCUUUCAAUCGCUCGUUACACGCGACCGAUGGCUUUGACGGGUAACGGAGAAUCAGGGUUUGAUUCCGGAGAGGCAGCCUGAGAGACGGCUACCACGUCCAAGGACGGCAGCAGGCACGCAAAUUACCCAAUCCCAGCAUCUGGGGGAGGUAGUGACGAAAUCUAACGAUGCGGGCGCCCUUCCAGGGCCCCGCAAUCGGAAUGAGCACUUUCUAAACAACCUGUUGAGAACCUACUGAAGGGCAAGUCUGGUGCCAGCAGCCGCGGUAAUUCCAGCUUCAGUAGCAUAUAUUAAAGUUGCUGCGGUUAAAAGGCUCGUAGUUGGAUGUCAGUGCCGGGCGUCGGUAAGGUGGACGCUGGGGCGUGAGGUUCAAGGGCGUGGUACAUUUGCCUUUGUCCUUCGGGACUUGCGGCGGUGUGUGUCAUGGCUCUCUCACAAGCUCCCGUCCGUAACAAGCCUCCGCGCCCGUGUACAUCAAGGAGAGACCCAUAACCCUUUCUCUCCCUCUUGGGAGAGAAGGGCCGUGUCUCUCGGUGUCACCCUGAGUAAAUCAGAGUGCUCAAAGCAGUCGUAAGGGGCGUUAUGCCCUGUGAACAGUCUUGACGCGGACUGACUUGGUUUUGCAUGGCAUGUCGGAAGACGACGUCGGGGUUUGCUGGCUAUGAGGUGGCACUCCCGUGAGGUGUGUGUGGUAGUGCAAGCCAGCCCCGACGUCAUGAUUAAAAGGGUUUGUCGAGGGCAUUGGUAUUGCGGAGCGAGAGGUGGAAUUCUGUGACCUCCGCAAGACCGUCCGAAGCGAAAGCAUCUGCCAAGGAUACUUUCAUUAAUCAUGAACGAAAGUUAGAGGAUCGAAGGCGAUCAGAUACCGCCCUAGUUCUAACCCUAAACGAUACCAACCAUCAAUCCGCGCGUAGCACCCCUUUUAUACGGGCUCGGCGGGCAGCUCCUUGUUCCCGGGAAACCAGAGUCUUUGGGUUCCGGGGGGAGUCUGGUUGCAAAGCUGAAACUUAAAGGAAUUGACGGAAAGGCACCACCAGGCGUGGCUGCGGCUUAAUUUGACUCAACACGGGCCAUCUCACCAGGCCAGCACUCUAGCAUGAUUGACAGAUUGAGAGCUCUUUCUCGAUUUAGUGGAUGGUGGUGCAUGGCCGUUCUUAGUUGGUGGAGUGAUCUGUCUGGUUAAUUCCGAUAACGAGCGAGACUCUCCCCUGCUAACUAGUCGGUUGGAUCUUGAUUCGCGAGUACUGCGCGCCCCGGUUUGCAAUGGAGGGUGUCUCACUUCGGUGUGUACUUCCCGACAGCGCCCGCCGGUAAGUGCGCACACUCCAAGUCCGCCGCUGUGAUGCUGUAAGUCUUCUUAGAGGGAUACACGGUUCUGAAGCCGUUAGAGACUGAGAGCAAUAACAGGUCUGUGAUGCCCUUAGAUGCUCUGGGCCGCACGCGCGCUACAAUGCCGGGCACAGCAGGUGUUUUUCCUACUCCGAGAGGAGCGGGUAACCCUCUGAAAGCCCUUUUCUGGUUUGCUGCUGCUGGCGCUCUCAUGCGCUGGUAGCAUGUGUGUGGCGUGCUUGGGCCUGGAGCUUGCAAUUUUUCUCCACAAACGAGGAAUGCCUAGUAGCGGUGGGUCACUGAGCCCACCGUGACUCAGUCCCUGCCCUUUGUACACACCGCCCGUCGCUACUACCGAUUGGGUGUACCAGUGAGAGCCUUGGACUGGCGACCGUUGUUGCCCGUGUGGGCACACGGUAUCGACUGAAAGAGGUCCGAACUGGUGCACUUAGAGGAAGUAAAAGUCGUAACAAGGUUUCCGUAGGUGAACCUGCGGAAGGAUCAUUA
rnacentral:rRNA from 1 species